rnacentral:rRNA from 1 species
UACGUAGGUGGCAAGCGUUGUCCGGAAUUAUUGGGCGUGAAGCGCGCGCAGGCGGUCUUUUAAGUCUGAUGUGAAAGCCCACGGCUCAACCGUGGAGGGUCAUUGGAAACUGGGAGACGUGAGUACAGAAGAGGAGAGUGGAAUUCCACGUGUAGCGGUGAAAUGCGUAGAUAUGUGGAGGAACACCAGUGGCGAAGGCGACUCUCUGGUCUGUAACUUACGCUGAGGCGCGAAAGCGUGGGGAGCAAACAGG